rnacentral:tRNA from 1 species
GCCUUUGUAGUUUUAAAAAAAACCUUAGUUUUGUAAACUGAAAUCGGACUCCCCAAAGGCU